AUGUCUAUCUUCUCAUCGGAAGGAGCAGUUGAAGGAUGGUUACAUUACUCCCCACAAGACCAAACUAACUUCAGCUCAGAAGGACUGACAGAUCUCCAUUUUGUUGUUGUGAUGCGCAAGUACAAUGUUGUUUUAGGAUUCUUUCCGCUUGAUUUCAAUGGGAACUACAGAAAAUGUUCAGGAAUACAUCAAAUCAUUCAUUUCCACCACAAGAAAGGAGGUGCUGAUAAGUUCAAGGUGUUGCAACAUAUAAGGGCGAAAUCAUACAAGCUACGCAUGAAUUUGGUUGAUUUUGGUGGAACUGCACAAAAAGAAUAG
rnacentral:rRNA from 1 species